rnacentral:misc_RNA from 1 species
GGAAGGAUCAUUGAAUCUAUCACAAUCCACACCAAACGUGAACCAACACUGUUGGCCCGAGGCCGCAAGGCUUCGCGAGUGCCGCUCAAGCUUCUGCUUGGGUGCGUGCUCGGUCUUGGGUGACUUCGGUCGCCUGGGUCGGUCUUAUAAUAACCAACCAACACCAAACCUAUCCUUCUAAAGUAGAGCAUGCAACUGGCUUAGAGCUGUUGCAUACCAACCAAGACAACUCUCAACAACGGAUAUCUUGGCUCUCGCAACGAUGAAGAACGCAGCGAAAUGCGAUACGUAGUGUGAAUUGCAGAAAUACGUGAAUCAUCGAAUCUUUGAACGCAUAUUGCGCCCGAGGCUUCGGCCAAGGGCAUGUCUGCCUCAGCGUCGGGUUAAUACUCACCCAACCAAUCCCUGGUUGAGUGGAUCUGGCUUUCCCAGGCCUCGUGUCUGGGUUUGCUGAAGCAUAGAGGUUGAUGCAUGGACCCGCUAAGGGCCGCAACUGGGUAGGCAAUCUAUUGCUAAUGCUUUAGUUGUUGGCUUGGGACUGUGCUGGUCGACCCGAAAUCAGGAAGAGCUUCGGCUCUAAACCCAUUUUCUCGACCUGAGCUCAGGCAAGAACACCCGCUGAACUUAAGCAUAUCAAUAAGCGGAGGAAAAGAAACUAACCAGGAUUCCCCUAGUAACGGCGAGCGAACCGGGAAUAGCCCAACUUGAAAAUCUCCCUCUGGAGAAUUGUAGUCUAUAGAAGCGCCCUCUGUAGCGAGCAGAGCCCAAGUCCGCUGGAAGGCGGCGUCAGAGAGGGUGAGAACCCCGUCGGCUCUGUCUUAGCUGCUCCACGAGGUGCUUUCCACGAGUCGGGUUGUUUGGGAAUGCAGCCCUAAUUUGGAGGUAAAUCCCUUCUAAGGCUAAAUACUGGCGAGAGACCGAUAGCGAACAAGUACCGUGAGGGAAAGAUGAAAAGAACUUUGAAAAGAGAGUUAAAAAGUGCUUGAAAUUGUUGAGGGGGAAGCGUUUGGAAGCCGUGUGUGCGCCCAGGCUUAUGCGCCUUUAACGAGUCGCUGUAUGUGCUGGGUGCUGGUCAGCUCGGGUUUCCUGGGCGGGAUAACAGCAGGGGUUGAUACCCUGCCGAUGCCGCCCGGGGGACCAAGGCGUGAUGGUCGCUCUGUCCUUCGGGAACUGCGUCCACAAGGAGCUGGCAGAAGGCUUUCAACCGGCCCGUCUUGAAACACGGACCAAGGAGUCUAACAUGUAUGCGAGUUGGCGGGUGGUAAACCCGUAAGCGCAAGUAACCUGACUGGUGGGAUGGCUUCGAGCCUGCACCAUCGACCGACCAUGAGCUUCUGCGAAAGGUUUGAGUGCGAGCAUACCUGUUGGGACCCGAAAGAUGGUGAACUAUGCCUGAGCAGGGUGAAGCCAGAGGAAACUCUGGUGGAGGCUCGUAGAUGUGCUGACGUGCAAAUCGCUUUUCGGACUUGGGUAUAGGGGCGAAAGACUAAUCGAACCAUCUAGUAGCUGGUUCCCUC